UACCAGCACCCCGAGUGGUCGGGACGAUUAUUGGGCCUAAAGCAUCCGUAGCCGGUCAUGCAAGUCUUCCGUUAAAUCCAGCCGCUCAACGGUUGGGCUGCGGAGGAUACUACGUGGCUAGGAGGCGGGAGAGGCAAGCGGUACUCGAUGGGUAGGGGUAAAAUCCGUUGAUCCAUUGAAGACCACCAGUGGCGAAGGCGGCUUGCCAGAACGCGCUCGACGGUGAGGGAUGAAAGCUGGGGGGAGCAAACCGG
rnacentral:rRNA from 1 species